rnacentral:lncRNA from 1 species
UAGUUUUGUCAAAGUUACAGCAAGAAAACCACCUAAGAGGCUCUAUGUUACACAAUUGGACUCUGCUUGCACUGCAUAAAAGGAGAGAGACUCUGAGAGAAGAAAAUCUUUCUCUUGUAAUCACAAAUGCCAUUUGUGGUUGCUUUGAUUCAUUUCAUGGUUCUUUCAUAAAUCCUUCUCAAUGUUUUGCUCUCUCCUUUUCUCUAUAACCCAUUAAGAAAGCAUAUGACCACCACAGUUAUCUAGUUUUCAAGGGUUAUGGACUGAAAAAAAAUUAAUGAGAAAUAUGGUAGAACUUGGACCAUUUGCAUAUAAUGUUUAAUAUUAAUAUGGAUACUGAUAAAUUCCAGAAUGGCACUAAUUAUUAACCAAAUUCAAAACAAGCAAACAUAGCUUCAGUUUGGAUUAGGUCAGUUAUUCUUUUUGACAAAAUUUUUCUCUUACCUGAUUUUAGGUCACUUUGUGAUGCCCACUGAGUUGGACAGGAAGCUCUUAUCUGCACCCUACAAAGCCCAGGCCACAGAACCCACAAUCUUAAAUGUGGAUGUCAAGUCUCACUCUCUACCCAGUCCUAUUCAAUUACAUUCCUAGGGGGAUUUUGAGUUUUUUCUCUGAGAUUUGAAAUUAG